AGAUUGAACGCUGGCGGCAGGCCUAACACAUGCAAGUCGAGCGGUAGAGAGGUGCUUGCAUCUCUUGAGAGCGGCGGACGGGUGAGUAAUGCCUAGGAAUCUGCUUAGUGGUGGGGGAUAACGUUCGGAAACGGACGCUAAUACCGCAUACGUCCUACGGGAGAAAGCGGGGGACCUUCGGGCCUCGCGCCAUUAGAUGAGCCUAGGUCGGAUUAGCUAGUUGGUGAGGUAAUGGCUCACCAAGGCGACGAUCCGUAACUGGUCUGAGAGGAUGAUCAGUCACACUGGAACUGAGACACGUCAGACUCCUACGGGAGCAGCGAGGUAGGGGAAUAGUUAGGAACUAAAGUGGGACGUAAAGCCUAGAU
rnacentral:rRNA from 1 species